rnacentral:lncRNA from 1 species
ACCUGGAGUAGGGCGGCUACAGCUUCAGCAAUCAUGCCAAGAGUGGGGUGUUGAACAUCUCAAAUAGAGUCAUGGUAGCGAUGAGAGGUAGAAGGAUAGAGAACAAUCUCUACAAGAUGGAAGGAUUUAUGGUGACUGAAGAAUCUGAUGCAGCAGCAGCGCAGGAUUAGUAGGGAGCUCACUGGUUGUGGCACUACUGCCUAGGUCAUGUGGG